rnacentral:rRNA from 1 species
AUUGAACGCUGGCGGCAUGCCUUACACAUGCAAGUCGAACGGCAGCACGGGGGCAACCCUGGUGGCGAGUGGCGAACGGGUGAGUAAUACAUCGGAACGUGUCCUGGAGUGGGGGAUAGCCCGGCGAAAGCCGGAUUAAUACCGCAUACGCUCUAAGGAGGAAAGGGGGGGAUCUUCGGACCUCUCGCUCAAGGGGCGGCCGAUGGCAGAUUAGCUAGUUGGUGGGGUAAAGGCCUACCAAGGCGACGAUCUGUAGCUGGUCUGAGAGGACGACCAGCCACACUGGGACUGAGACACGGCCCAGACUCCUACGGGAGGCAGCAGUGGGGAAUUUUGGACAAUGGGCGCAAGCCUGAUCCAGCAAUGCCGCGUGUGUGAAGAAGGCCUUCGGGUUGUAAAGCACUUUUGUCCGGAAAGAAAACCUCGUGGUUAAUACCCGUGGGGGAUGACGGUACCGGAAGAAUAAGCACCGGCUAACUACGUGCCAGCAGCCGCGGUAAUACGUAGGGUGCAAGCGUUAAUCGGAAUUACUGGGCGUAAAGCGUGCGCAGGCGGUUCGCUAAGACAGAUGUGAAAUCCCCGGGCUUAACCUGGGAACUGCAUUUGUGACUGGCGGGCUAGAGUAUGGCAGAGGGGGGUAGAAUUCCACGUGUAGCAGUGAAAUGCGUAGAGAUGUGGAGGAAUACCGAUGGCGAAGGCAGCCCCCUGGGCCAAUACUGACGCUCAUGCACGAAAGCGUGGGGAGCAAACA